rnacentral:ncRNA from 1 species
AGCUGAUAAAGCCACAACCGUCGCGAGGCGGUGUCGGAAAGCUACGGGUCUCCAACGAGACAGCCGGGUUACCUGC